rnacentral:rRNA from 1 species
UACGUAGGUGGCAAGCGUUGUCCGGAUUUACUGGGCGUAAAGAGCGCGCAGGCGGUUAUUCAAGUCGAAUGUGAAAGCCCCCGGCUUAACUGGGGAGGGUCAUUCGAUACUGUUUAACUUGAAGGCAGGAGAGGGUAGUGGAAUUCCCGGUGUAGUGGUGAAAUGCGUAGAUAUCUGGAGGAACACCGGUGGCGAAGGCGGCAUCCUGGACCGACACUGACGCUGAGGCGCGAAAGCUAGGGUAGCAAACGGG